rnacentral:rRNA from 1 species
UACGUAGGGACCAAGCGUUGUCCGGAAUCAUUGGGCGUAAAGCGCGCGUAGGUGGCCAUUUAAGUCCGCUGUGAAAGUCAGAGGCUCAACCUUUGAAAGCCGGUGGAUACUGGAUGGCUAGAGUACGGAAGAGGCGAGUGGAAUUCCUGGUGUAGCGGUGGAAUGCGCAGAUAUCAGGAGGAACACCGGUGGCGAAGGCGGGUCUCUGGACGCAACAACUGACGCUGAGGAGCGAAAGCGUGGGAGCGAACAGG